AACGUUCUUUCUUUUUCCGGUCCGCCAUUGAACCUCGUGUUUCUUGGCUGUCAAAAAACUUAAAUUAACAUCAUGGGAGCUUAUAAAUACAUCCAAGAACUAUUCAGAAAGAAGCAAUGCGAUGUUAUGAGAUUUCUAAUCCGUAUAAGAACUUGGCAUUACCGACAAUUGUCCGCAAUUCACCGUGCGCCAAGAUCAACUAGACCGGACAAGGCUAGACGUCUUGGAUAUCGGUCUAAGCAAGGAUACGUCAUUUACCGUGUACGUGUACGUCGUGGUGGAAGGAAACGUCAAGCCCGUAAAGGUGCCACUUACGGUAAACCAACAAACCAGGGUGUAAACCAGUUGAAGAAUCAACGCGGACACCAAGCAAUUGCUGAGGAGAAAGUCGGACGACACUGUAAGGCUCUCAGAGUCUUGAACUCCUAUUGGGUUGGUCAAGAUUCGACUUACAAAUACUUCGAAGUUAUUCUUGUUGAUCCCUUCCAUACAACUAUUAGAAGAGAUGCCAAGAUUAACUGGAUUUGCAAACCUGUCAUGAAACAUCGUGAAAUGAGAGGAUUAACCUCAGCCGGCAAAUCAUCCAGAGGUCUUGGAAAGGGUCACGGUUACUCCAAAACUACUGGUGGUUCUAGAUUCGCUUCAUGGAAGAGGCGCAACUUGCAACAAAUGCGCCGUAAACGUUAGAGAAUGCCGUGUUGUUUCAAUACAGAUAAGAUGUUCGAUUGUGUUGAAUGAAACUCAUUACGUGUAGUUAAUUAGUUUGAUUUAAACAAUUAAGUCAAUGAUCAAAUUUAUGAAAGCUCAACACGUGUUCAAUAUGGGGAAAAGAAAAGAAUAUUUCCUCGAUCAGGUCAUAUAUUAUUAUUUAUAGGCCAAUAGCACAUGAUUACUCAAAAACUUUUUUAUUUCAAUUUAAAAAAAAUCAAGCAUCAAAUUUUUAUCUAGAAGUAUCUACCAAGUAGUCUUUCAAUAAACAAGUGAAGAGCUUCAGCGAACACGAUAUUAGGAAGUUGCCUAGCAUUUUCAAUCGCUUUAAGAGUAUGUUCUUUUGCUAAAUCCCUAGUCUUUUGAAUUCCGUCAUAUUUUUCUAUCAAUUCUAGUGCAUUUUCGAUGUCUCCAUCUUGCGAAUAUCUUCUUUGAAUUAUCACUUGUAGUUUCGCACUGUCUCUAGCUGCCAGUAAAGCGGGAGCAGUGGCUAAUCCUAAUUUCAUGUCUGCCACUGCAGGUUUACCCAACUUUUCCUCGGUGCUCACGAGAUCCAACAAAUCAUCAACCAAUUGAUAGGCUAAGCCGACAUGUUUUCCUAUGUUUCUUGCGUUCUCUACUAAUUGAUCGUUACAUUUUGCUAAUACUGCAACUGCAGCACAUGCAUUUGUAGUCAAGCUGGCAGUUUUCGCAAAGGUUUUGUCCAUAUAUAAUGAAAAUUGUUCUUUUAAAUUUGCACCUUGUUUUUGUUGACUUAACUCUCCUCUAACGAUAUCAUUCAUUGCUUGGGAAAGUAGUUUUAUAACUCUUGGAUUUCUUAAACGGGCUAAUAACUGGGAAGAUACACUAAUCAUGUAGUCGGCAACAAAUGUUGUUAAAGUGUCACCAAAGACUAAGUGGGAUGAUGGCUUUUUUCUUCGUAAUUCUGCAUUAUCAACAAUGUCAUCGUGAACCAAGGAAGCUGUAUGAAUCACUUCUGCUAUCAUUGCUAUCGUUUUUUGAUCAGACGAAGGAAGAGAAUUUUCAAAACAAGCCCCUGCAGUCAAUAAAACUAACUGGGGUCUAAUUAACUUUCCCGAGCCAUCACAAACAUAUGUACAACAUUCUAAAGUUUUCUGAUGUCCUCCUGAUUCUACCAAAGCGUUUUGUAACCUUUUUGUACAUAACUCUUGAGCCUCUGUUCGCGACCAUGUGAUAAGUUCUUCUGGAGUAUACUCAGUUGGAAGAUGCUGUUAUAUAUAUAUAUAUAUAUGUAUAUACAAGCACUGAAACUUGCGUUACGCCUUACAAAUUUUAAUUUAAAAAAAAAACUUAAAAGUUUGUAAUCUAUAUUAAAAUUGAAUCUGAUGAAAUCACAUGUUCGAAAAAGUAUUUUCUAUUUACCUGCUGUAUAUGCUUUUGCCACUUAUUACACGCAAAGGCAAGGCACAGUUCACGUCGUUUUGUUGCAUUAUUAAUAAGUUUUGGAGCAAACAGGGGUUGAAAACCAUUUAUUUUUUCACAUGAUCUCAAAAUAACCUUCAAGGAUUGCUUGCCGAUGGACAUCGCCAUUUUUUUGAACUGGGUGUUGCUAAGUUCUGAUAUCAGUUGUCGAUUGCAAAUGAAAAAGUUUUAGCGAUGUCACUAAAUUCAACUUUUUAUUAUUUUAUUAUACUAUAAAUUAUAGAGGUCAUUUAGGAAUAAAAUAGAAUUUAUUUCUUAUUUCUCAAAUAUCAAAA
rnacentral:misc_RNA from 1 species